rnacentral:rRNA from 1 species
UACGUAGGGUGCAAGCGUUAAUCGGAAUUACUGGGCGUGAAGCGUGCGCAGGCGGUUUUGUAAGUUUGUCGUGAAAUCCCCGGGCUCAACCUGGGAAUUGCGAUGAAGACUGCAAGGCUAGAAUCUGGCAGAGGGGGGUAGAAUUCCACGUGUAGCAGUGAAAUGCGUAGAGAUGUGGAGGAACACCGAUGGCGAAGGCAGCCCCCUGGGUCAAGAUUGACGCUCAUGCACGAAAGCGUGGGGAGCAAACAGG